UCUCACUGUUUCCUGUUUGCUCUCUGUCUUUUGUGGCACCUUUACUCUCUGCUCCGUGUCUGCACACCUGUUCCUCGUUUAAUUAGUUGUAUUUAGUUCCACCUGAGUCCCUCCUUCACUGCUUCAUCAUUAUUCUUUUUUGACGGAUGUGGAUCGGACGGGUUUUAGUCGCAAGCCAAACAUUCCUCCCGCUGUGCCAACCUCACCUGUGGGGUCCCUAGGGCUCAAUACUGGGUUCCAUCCUGUUCUCCAUCUACAUGCUCUCCCUCAGCCAAGUCAUUCAUCGCCUUAAAAUUUCCUUUCAUUUCUACACUGAUGAUACUAAAUCUAUCUUCCACUCAAGACAGACGAUCCCUCUGGACUGGACCAUUUGAAGGACUGCUUGCAGGACAUAAAAGAGUGGAUGUCAAAAUUUCCUGCAGCUCAAUGACAGAGUGAAAUUCUUCUGUUCGGGAACUCCAACUCCAACCCCCCAACUGUGCACAAUAGCCAAGAUCAAGUCUGUCCUCUCCCCCAGUGACUUAGAGGGUCGUGUUCAUGCUCAUCUUCUGCAGACUGGACUAAUGGAAUGCCCUCUAUGCUGGGGUCACUAACAAGACCAUAUAUAGCAUGCAGUUGGUACAAAAUGCUGGUGACAGGCACAAAAAUGAGGGAACACAUUUCUCCCAUCCUCUCCUCCCUUCACUGGCUCCUGGUGAAGCAGAGUGAAAUUUAAGAUCCUUACGUAUGUCUUCAAAGCGCUCCGUGGUCUUACCCCAGCUUACAUCAAACAUCUCCUGGACCAACCUAUCAGCUCCAGGCUUGGUCGUUGCCUCAGAUCUGACAACCAGAUGACCUUGAAGGUCCCACAGUCAAACCUAGUGACAAAGAGAGACUGUGCAUUUUCAAUGAUGGUACCUGGCCUAUGGAAUAAGCUCCCCCUGAAAGUCAAGUCCGCCACCACUCUGGACACUUUUAGAGCACAGCUUAAAACUCACCUCUUUGCCGCAAAUGACUUGAUUUGUGUUCAUGUGUCUUAAAUGUUUGUUCUAAA